ACCUCCCGCUUUCUUCAUGCCUAACACAUGCAAGUCGAACGAGACCUUCGGGUCUAGUGGCGCACGGGUGCGUAACGCGUGGGAACCUGCCCUUAGGUUCGGAAUAACUCCCCGAAAGGGGUGCUAAUACCGGAUAAUGUCUUCGGACCAAAGAUUUAUCGCCUUUGGAUGGGCCCGCGUUGGAUUAGCUAGUUGGUAGGGUAAAAGCCUACCAAGGCGACGAUCCAUAGCUGGUCUGAGAGGAUGAUCAGCCACACUGGGACUGAGACACGGCCCAGACUCCUACGGGGGGCAGCAGUGGGGAAUAUUGGACAAUGGGCGAAAGCCUGAUCCAGCAAUGCCGCGUGAGUGAUGAAGGCCUUAGGGUUGUAAAGCUCUUUUACCCGGGAUGAUAAUGACAGUACCGGGAGAAUAAGCUCCGGCUAACUCCGUG
rnacentral:rRNA from 1 species